UAGUAUUAUACAAAGAAAAAAUACUCUUCACACAAACCCUAGGGAGCUAUUAGAGCAGGGAAAGUUUAAGAAGAUAAGGUUUUCUUUGAAGGUGUAAGUUUUAAAAUGAGUUUAAAAACCAAGGAGCUACAUGGAGUGAGAGUGUCCUGACUGGGUAGAGAUGCAGAGCUGGAAGGGGACCACAUACACGGGGACCUACAGGAGGCGGAGCGUCAUGGGCUUGUCUCGGAUGGCAGAAGGAGGCUAACAGUCCAGUGGUUUGAAUCGGGGAUCGUGGCUCCACGCUUACAAAGAGGACCCGAGUGGAAACAGGCAGCUUGGCAGACAGCAUAAGGUGACGCCGAUGCUGUUUGGUGAACCACAUUUUGAACAGCAAGGCCCUAAAGCUUCUUUCAACCAACCAUGCCCAGCUUAAAGGAGGCACUCAUUUAUUGAGUUAUGGAGAAAAGAAGAGAGAAAGAGGAGGAGGGAUGGUUGUGGAGGAAAGGAGAUGGAAGAGCAUUAUGAACACAACACCCAGGACUGCAAACUAACAUGAGCCAUAAUUGAAGGGCCAGAUUUCUUGAAAAACGCCUGUUACAUAGGCAAGAUGAGGCACCUGGUUCUAACAGGCAAAUAAAAUUAUUCUGUGAGAAUCAUAGAAUUGUUGUGUCUGUGUUCUUGCCAGUCACCCAGUGCAGCAUAAUGCAGGAGUCCCUGUCAGGUUUAUCAGAAGCGUGACUUUCAAAGUGGGGACCCACCGAGCUACAAAGUCAGGAGAGAUUUCCAAAAUUCAAUUUGAUAUCAUUUUAAUAUGCACAAUAGCUGUAUGGGCCCCCCCAAAAUUGGAAGUGCUACAGAGUUGUAUGUAAAAGACUUUUCUUGACAAACCUCGAGAGGCAGAGAAAGAGGGUGGCAGACUGCCUUGCGGAGAGAAUUAGAAGUUUGAGGGCUAAGUGACCGCCUGGCUCUGGAAAUCCACGAGGAAGCUGCAAGAAUCAGGUUCGGUAUGUCCCAUCAAGGUCACUAAAAAGAAUACAGUAAGCCUCCUGGCUAAGAUUUCCAGCCAUUAUGCAACCUCAGGCAAGCCAAGACAGUAACCCCAGACCGUGUGGGAGGAUGAAGUUGUUCCCAUCAUGGAGAAGUACCUUUCAACUCCGGGAAGAUUCAGAAUGGAGCAGAAUCGAAUAAGAUAAUCAAAGCCAUCUGUUGCUCUUUUGAGUCUAGGGCGUGUGUGUAAAUUUAGUGUUUUCUGUACGAGGAAUAUUUAGGAGAAUUGAGUCUAUCAGAAUAUCAGCCUUCUAAUUAGAAUUUAAAUGUGUGGGCCAGCCGGGUGGUGCAGCAGUUAAGUGCGCAUGUUCCGCUUCAGCAGCCCGGGGUUCACCGG